rnacentral:rRNA from 1 species
GGGGAAUUUUGCGCAAUGGGGGAAACCCUGACGCAGCAACGCCGCGUGGACGAUGAAGCUUCUUGGAGUGUAAAGUCCUUUCGGCAGGGAAGAAUCCCGCAAGGGUUGACGGUACCUGACGAAGAAGCGCCGGCCAACUACGUGCCAGCAGCCGCGGUAAGACGUAGGGCGCGAGCGUUGUCCGGAUUUAUUGGGCGUAAAGAGCUCGUAGGCGGCUUGUUGCGUCGGCUGUGAAAACCCAUGGCUCAACCGUGGGCUUGCAGCCGAUACGGGCAGGCUGGAGUUCGGUAGGGGAGACUGGAAUUCCUGGUGUAGCGGUGAAAUGCGCAGAUAUCAGGAGGGACACCGGUGGCGAAGGCGGGUCUCUGGGCCGAUACUGACGCUGAGGAGCGAAAGCGUGGGGAGCGAAC